GAUGAACGCUGGCGGCGUGCCUAAUACAUGCAAGUCGAGCGAACAGAUAAGGAGCUUGCUCCUUUGACGUUAGCGGCGGACGGGUGAGUAACACGUGGGUAACCUACCUAUAAGACUGGAAUAACUCCGGGAAACCGGGGCUAAUGCCGGAUAACAUUUAGAACCGCAUGGUUCUAAAGUGAAAGAUGGUUUUGCUAUCACUUAUAGAUGGACCCGCGCCGUAUUAGCUAGUUGGUAAGGUAACGGCUUACCAAGGCAACGAUACGUAGCCGACCUGAGAGGGUGAUCGGCCACACUGGAACUGAGACACGGUCCAGACUCCUACGGGAGGCAGCAGUAGGGAAUCUUCCGCAAUGGGCGAAAGCCUGACGGAGCAACGCCGCGUGAGUGAUGAAGGUCUUCGGAUCGUAAAACUCUGUUAUUGGGGAAGAACAAAUGUGUAAGUAACUGUGCACGUCUUGACGGUACCUAAUCAGAAAGCCACGGCUAACUACGUG
rnacentral:rRNA from 1 species